UACCUUUUCUGGGAAAUUCGAGCCUGUGC
rnacentral:piRNA from 1 species